AGAGUUUGAUCAUGGCUCAGAACGAACGCUGGCGGCGUGCUUAACACAUGCAAGUCGAGUGCGCGUCUGUAGCAAUACAGAUGGCGCACGGCGCACGGGUGCGUAACACGUGGGUAACCUGCCCUUUAGUGGGGAAUAACCUCGCGAAAGCGAGGCUAAUUCCGCAUAAGAUCCGCAAGGAUGAAAGCCGUAAGGCGCUGAUGGAGGGGCCCGCGCACGAUUAGCUAGUUGGUAGGGUAACGGCCUACCAAGGCUAUGAUCGUUAGCUGGUCUGAGAGGAUGGCCAGCCACACUGGAACUGAGACACGGUCCAGACUCCUACGGGAGGCAGCAGUGGGGAAUCUUGCACAAUGGGCGAAAGCCUGAUGCAGCGACGCCGCGUGGGGGAUGAAGCUUCUCGGAGUGUAAACCCCUUUCGACCCGGACGAAUACCUCGCAAGAGGGGUGACGGUACGGGUAUAAGAAGCCCCGGCUAACUACGUGCCAGCAGCCGCGGUAAGACGUAGGGGGCCAGCGUUGUUCGGAAUUACUGGGUGUAAAGGGUUCGUAGGCGGUGUGGCAAGUCGGGAGUGAAAUUUCUGGGCUCAACUCAGAGACUGCUUCCGAAACUGCUGUGCUUGAGUGUGGGAGAGGCGCGUGGAAUUGCAGGUGUAGCGGUGAAAUGCGUAGAUAUCUGCAGGAACACCCGUGGCGAAAGCGGCGCGCUGGACCACUACUGACGCUGAGGAACGAAAGCUAGGGGAGCAAACAGGAUUAGAUACCCUAGUAGUCC
rnacentral:rRNA from 1 species